rnacentral:rRNA from 1 species
UACGGGGGGGGCAAGCGUUGUUCGGAAUUACUGGGCGUAAAGGGUUUGUAGGUGGCCAACUAAGUCAGACGUGAAAUCCCUCAGCUUAACCGGGGAACUGCGUCUGAUACUGGAUGGCUUGAGUUUGGGAGAGGGACGCGGAAUUCCAGGUGUAGCGGUGAAAUGCGUAGAUAUCUGGAGGAACACCGGUGGCGAAGGCGGCGUCCUGGACCAACACUGACACUGAUGAGCGAAAGCCAGGGGAGCAAACGGG